GGAGAGACGGCUCAGAGGUCAAGAGCACUGGACUGCUCUUCCAGGGGUCCUGAGUUCAAUUCUCAGUAUCCACA
rnacentral:tRNA from 1 species